rnacentral:lncRNA from 1 species
ACAUCUUUCUGACCUAGAGCAAGGAACCUCCAAAGCACAGACCAUAAUGAAAAAAUUGAUGAAUUUGAUUUCCUCAAAAAUUGAGACUUGUCUUCAAUGAAGAACAUUAUGAACAAAGUAAAAAAGAGGAGAAAAUGGAGGAGAUAUUUGCAAUAUGUGAAAGAAAUAAGAAAUAAGACCUUAAUAUCAAGCAUUCAUUACACUAGAAAUAAGAAAAGAAAGAAACCUCCAAUAGAAAAAAGAAACCACAGAGUAUAUAGAAGGGAAUUCACGAAAAUUAACAUUAAAGGCCUAUAAGAAUAGAAGGUGAUACUGAAAUUCAUUCGUAUUGAAUACAAAUUGAAACAACAGAGAUAUCUAUUUACCUCUGUUAAGCAUACAGAUAUUAGAGAGUCAGAUAGUGUAAAGUGUUGGCAAAAAGUAGAAAAGAGAGGAAUACUCAUUUACAUUUGGUAAAAUGUAGAGAAGUACAGCCAUCCUGGGAAGGUAUCUGAUAUUACUAGGUCACCUUAUGCCUGUGCAUUUCUAUGAUAUAAGAAUUAUUUUAAAUAGAGAGAGCCCACAGUCAUAUGGCAUAUUCCUGUAAUGUGUGUGGUUCAGUUAUUUGUGUUGGCAAGGUGUUGUGUGAUUUGGAUGCCUUUUAUUUCUUUGUUGCCUGAUUGCAAGGCUAGGACUUCCAGUACUAUGUUGAAUAGCAGUGGUGAGAGUGGACAUCCCUGUCUUGUUCCUGAUCUUAGGGGAAAGGCUCCCAGUGCUUCCCCAUUGAGAAUGAUAUUUGCUGUGGGCUUUUCUUAGAUGGCUUUUAAGAUGCUAAGGAAUGUUCCCUCUAUCCCUACACUCUGAAGAGUUUUGAUAAGGAAUGGAUGCUGUAUUUUGUCAAAUGCUUUCUCUGGAUCUGUUGAGAGGAUCAUAUGUUUUUGGGUUUUUCUCUUGCUGGUAUGAUCAAUCACAUUGAUUGCCUUAUGAGUGUUGAACCAGCCUUGAAUCCUAGGGAUAAAUCCCACUUGGUCAUAGUGAAUAAUUUUCUUAAUGUAUUGUUGGAUCCUAUUGGCUAGUAUCUUGUUGAGAAUUUUUGCAUCCGUGUUCAUCAGGGAUAUUGGUCUAUAAUUCUCCUUUUUGGUGGGAUCUUUGUCUGGUUUUGGAAUUAAGGUGAUUCUGGCCUCAUAGAAUGAGUUUAGAAGUAUUCCAUCCCUUUCUAUCUUUCAGAACAGCUUUGGAGGAAUAGUAUUGUUUCUUUAAACGUUUGAUAGAAUUCCCCUGGGAAGCCAUCUGGCCCUGCACUUUUUUUGUCUUGGGAGGCUUUUGAUGACUGUUUCAAAUUCACCCCCUGUUUAUUGGACUGUUCAUGUUUUCUAUUUCUUCCUGUUCCUGUAGUUUGUGGUUUUCCAGAAAUGCAUCCAUUUCUUCUAGAUUGCCUAAUUUAUUGCCGUAAAGCUGCUCAUAAUAAGUUUUUAAGAUCGUUUGUAUAUCCUUGGUAUUGGUGUUGAUCUCUCCUUUCUCACUCAUGAUUUUAUUAAUUUGAGUCUUCUCUCUCUUCUUUUUAAUAAGGCUGGCUAAGGUUUAUCUAUCUCAUUAAUUCUUUCAAAGAAACAACUCCUGGUUUUGUUAAUUGAUUCCACAGUUCUUCGUCUCUAUUUCAUUGAGUUCUGCUUGAAUUUUUAUUAAUUCUCUUCUUCUGUUAGGUGUAGGAUCUGUUUGAUGUUUUUUUCUACACCUCUUUAGGUGCAAGGUUAGCUUUUGUACUUGAGUUCUUUCCAGUUUUUGGAUGGAUGCUUGUAUUGCGAUAUAUUUCCCCCUCAGGACUGCUUUUGCUGUAUCCCAAAGAUUUUGAACGGUUAUAUCUUCAUUCUCAUUAGUUUCCUCGAAUCUUUUUAAUUCUUGUCUAAUUUCCUGGUAGACCCUUUCAUCUUUUAGCAGGAUGGUCCUUAACCUCCAGGUGUUUGAAAUCCUUCCAAACUUCUUCUUGUGAUUUAGUUCUAAUUUCAAAGCAUUAUGGUCUGAAAAUAUGCAGAGGAUGAUCCCAAUCUUUUGGUAUCAGUUAAGACCUGAUUUGUGAUCCAGUAUGUGCUCUAAUCUGUAGAAAGUUCCAUGUGCACUUGAGAAGAAUGUGUAUUCAGUUGAGUUUGGAUGUAAAGUGCUGUAAAUAUCUGUGAAAUCCAUCUGGUCCAGUGUAUCAUUUAAAGCUCUUGUUUCUUUGGAGAUGUUGUGCUUAGAAGGUCUCUCCAUUGUAGAAAGCACUACAUUCAAGUCACUUACAAUAAUAAGUGUAUUAUUAUCUAAGUAUGCCUUCACUUAGGUUAUUAAUCGAUUGGUAUAUUUGGCAGCUCCCACAUUCGGGGCAUAAAUGUUCAUGAUUGUUAGGUCCUCUUGUUGGAUAGAUCCUUUACGUAUGAUAGAGUGUCCUUCUUCAUCUCUUACUACAGUCUUUGAGAUAAACUUUAAUUUAUCUGAUAUAAGAAUUACCACCCCUGCUUUCUUUUGAGAACCAUUUGAAUGGUACAUGGUUCACCAACCUUUUAUUUUCAGGCUAUAGGUGUCCUUUUGUCUAAAAUGAGUCUCUUGUAGACAGCAAAUAGGUGGGUCUUGCUUUUUUAUCCAGUCUGAAACCCUGCGCCUUUUAAUUGGGUCAUUAAGCCCAUUCACGUUCAGAGUUACUAUGAAAGAUAUAAAUUUAGUAUCAUCAUGAAACCUAUUCAGUCCCUGUUUUGUGGAUUGUUCCAUUGGACUUCCUCUUUCUAUUACAAAGUAUUUCUUGCAGAGCCUUCUUCGUGGUCACAUAUUCUUUCAGUUUCUGCCUAUCUUGGAAGCUCUUUAUCUCUCCUUCUUUUCUGAAUGAGAGCCUUGCUGGAUAAAGUAUUCUUUUUUUUAUUAUUACAUACUGUCUUUUUAUUUUAAUGAGAUUUUUUUUAGUUUAUUUUUUAUUGGUGUUCAAUUUAUUAACAUACAGAAUAACCCCCAGGGCCCGUCACCCAUUCACUCCCACCCCUCGCCCUUCUCCCCUUCCACCACCCCCAGUUCAUUUCCCAGAGUUAGCAGUCUUUACGUUCUGUCUCCCUUUCUGAUAUUUCCCACACAUUUCUUCUCCCUUCCCUUAUAUUCCCUUUCACUAUUAUUUAUAUUCCCCAAAUGAAUGAGAACAUAUAAUGUUUGUCCUUUACCGACUGACUUACUUCACUCAGCAUAAUACCCUCCAGUUCCAUCCACGUUGAAGCAAAUGGUGGGUAUUUGUCAUUUCUAAUAGCUGAGUAAUAUUCCAUUGUAUACAUAAACCACAUCUUCUUUAUCCAUUCAUCUUUCGAUGGACACCGAGGCUCCUUCCAUAUUUUGGCUAUCGUGGCCAUUGCUGCUAGAAACAUCGGGGUGCAGGUGUCCCGGCGUUUCAUUGCAUCUGUAUCUUUGGGGUAAAUCCCCAGCAGUGCAAUUGCUGGGUCGUAGGGCAGGUACAUUUUUAACUGUUUGAGGAACCUCCACACAGUUUUCCAGAGUGGCUGCACCAGUCCACAUUCCCACCAACAGUGUAAGAGGGUUCCCUUUUCUCCGCAUCCUCUCCAACAUUUGUUGUUUCCUGCCUUGUUAAUUUUCCCCAUUCUCACUGGUGUGAGGUGGUAUCUCAUUGUGGUUUUGAUUUGUUUUUCCCUGAUGGCAAGUGAUGCAGAGCAUUUUCUCAUAUGCAUGUUGGCCAUGUCUAUGUCUUCCUCUGUGAGAUUUCUCUUCAUGUUUUUUGCCCAUUUCAUGAUUGGAUGGUUUGUUUCUUUGGUGUUGAGUUUAAUAAGUUCUUUAUAGAUCUUGGAAACUAGCCCUUUAUCUGAUAGGUCAUUUGCAAAUAUCUUCUCCCAUUCUGUAGUUGUCUUUGAGUUUUGUUGACUGUAUCCUUUGCUGUGCAAAAGCUUCUUAUCUUGAUGAAGUCCCAAUAGUUCAUUUUUGCUUUUGUUUCUUUUGCCUUCGUGGAUGUAUCUUGCAAGAAGUUACUGUGGCCGAGUUCAAAAAGGGUGUUGCCUGUGUUCUUCUCUGGGAUUUUGAUGGAAUCUUGUCUCACAUUUAGAUCUUUCAUCCAUUUUGAGUUUAUCUUUGUGUAUGG